UCCAGCGCGGACAGCGGCGCCCCUGCACGCACACCAUGUCAUGUUGUCAUGUCCGUCGCGCUCGCUCGCAGCUGACCAACGAGACGAAUGAUUGCAAAAGCAGCAGUAAUCAAUUGCUAUUAUCACAGCCUGGGCCCCGCCGCCUACUCCGGCCGGCCUGCAGUGAAUGCGCCAGCCGCCGAUACGGAUGGAAGCAUGGAGCAGGCAGGCGAAGGCGAAGGCGAAGAACUCUCGGCUUCUUCGCUGCUGCUUUACGCCAGGCAGUGACAGGAGGAUCAGAGGCACCAGCAACUCGACCUGCAACUCUCUCAGAUGCCGAUUCAGAGAAUUCGGCGACUCUCUUUCUUGUACGCCUCCUCAGUCCUCCUCCCUAUAUGUGGCUGCUAGUUACUUACUGCUUGCUACCGGCAAUGGCGGCUGGCUGGUUGCAAAGCCAAGAGCUACAGACAAACUAGUGAAAGCUCUCCCACCCGUCGUCAGAGCAAAAGGCUGCCUGCCUGACCAUCUUUUUUCACCCAUCAAAGAAAUGCACAGGAAUGUAGUAGUAGUAGUAUACAGUACCUCUCUGGUACCUGAGGGUGGAU
rnacentral:misc_RNA from 1 species